GGCAAGUAAAAUAGUGGUCCUGUGCGCUAUACUCCACAAUAUCGCGGUAAGGAGUAGCGUAGAGCUUCCUCAGACAGAGGAAUUGCCUGAUGAGUUGCCAGGGGUUGUCCGACACUUCGGUGGGGGGAGUGUUACAAGGAGGGGGAGCCAAGUCAGGGCAAGCAUUGUUGCUGAAUUUUUCAGCUGAAAGACCACACAAACUGAGGACGACCACAACGGCAAGCACCACAUGAUGCACCAGCUCAGCACCCUUCCCCUUCUCACUCCCCCUCCACUUCCCAGUCCCCCUCCCCUUCUCACUCCCCCUCCCCUUCUCACUCCCCCUCCCCUUCUCACUCCCCCUCAGCUUCCCAAUCCCCCUCAGCUUCCCAAUCACCCUCAGCUUCACAAUCCACCUCAGCUUCCCAGUCACCCUCAGCUUCCCAGGCCCCCUCAGCUUCCCAGGCCCCCUCAGCUUCCCAGGCCCACUCCACUUUCCACUCCCCUUCUCAGCCAACCUCUCCUUCUCUUUCUGUGACCCCUUCUCCUCCUUCCCAUACCCCUUCUCCUUCUACUUCCAACUCACCUUCUCAGCCCCCCUCACCCUCUAUUGGCCUAACAUUUUCACCGCCCCCCUCGCCCUCUCAAUCAGACCCACCCUCUGAAAUUACAUCCCCAAUCCAACCUCCUUCCCCCAUCCAGCCUCCUUCCCCAUCAAGCCUCCUUCCCCCAUCCAGCCUCCUUCCCCCAUCCAGCCUCCUUCCCCAAUCCCUCCUCCUUCCCCCAUCCAGCCGCCUUCCCCCAUCCAGCCGCCAUCCCCACCCAGUGAAUGGGCAGAGGAAGCCCCUGAAGACAGUUCAGGGAGUCU